ACAGUCGUGGCCGAGUGGUUAAGGCAAUGGAUUAGAAAUCCAUUAAACAUCUUUUCUUUUUAUGUGAGCACGGACGUCGGAUGGA
rnacentral:tRNA from 1 species